rnacentral:misc_RNA from 1 species
GCUAGAGAUGAUUCAGGACGGUUCUCAGGUGUGCUCUCUUCAAGUGAUUCACCACGUGUUGGAGUUUCUAGAAGUUCUAGCAGCAGAUUAUCUUUUCAGGAUGACUUGGAUGACUUUGAUUUUUCCUGUCCUUUUAUAGUUGAUGAUGUUGAUACUUCUGUUUCCCGAGCCAGAGAGAACCUUGAAUCCAGAAAGCGCCCAGAAGCCUCGUCUAGAGUAUCUGCAACAACCAGAAAAUCUCAAGAUGCUGCUGUAGGUGCCCUUGUUCACAUGUUGAGAACUGCUCCUCCGCUGCGUCAAGAUUCUACUUGCUAUACUACAGAUUCUAUAGAGGGAGAGGUAGAGGGGGAAACUGGCACUGCAUCUCAGUUCUAUGUUCCUAGGAAGGCAUCAGAUGCAUUGGAGGAGCUCAAAGCUUAUACUGAGUUGAAAGAUAUGUUACUUCCCAAGAGCACGACCCGCUCAGACAGUGAGGAUGGGAGCUAUGCGUGAUGUACAUAUAUACUUGUUUGCUAAGUAACGUUAAGGAGUGUUUACUGUGUGAGAGAAGUGAGGACUAACAGAUUCUGUACAUAAAUGAUGAGAAAUGGCAAGUAUGAUAGUUAAUAUGCUGCCUUAUUUUGACACUACUUGAA